CCCCUCUCAAGAUUGCAUCUGGAGAGUCUCCACUACUCUACCAGUCUCAGCUGUGGGAGGGAGAGUCACGCAGAGGCCUAGCCAUUACAUUGCUAGCUUGGGCAGUGGCUAGCCAGUGGAAGGAAAUCCGCUACAAGA